rnacentral:lncRNA from 1 species
AUUCAGUAUGAACCCCAGAAGCAGACUGGUGGGAUUUAGGUCCCAAACUCCUCUGGAUGCCCACUCAGCCUUGGGAUCCUCGUUUUAUUUUACCCCAGCGUUUUUGUCUGCAAUUGGAAAUGCUAUCAGAGGUUAUCUUCCAGUGACUUUGGAGAGAAUGGGCUGUAUUUGAAGCCUACUUUUUCCAAAACGCUGUUUUCCUUUUCUUGUUACUUAUUUCUGUCUUUCCCCUACAGCACAUAGCAGUGUUUUUUCAGACAAUUUUUCUUCAUUUUCUUCAGCUGCUAAUGGUAGUUCAUUUUUUUCUCUUGCAGCUUUUUUGUACCAUGUCCUGCAACAUUCCAUCAGCUGAAUCUCUUGGGCAGACAAAGAAUAUGUACCUGUGCCCCUAUAACAUGGCCUUGGGCAGCAGAAGGGUUUAUACAUCCCAUAUGGAGCUUUAUGACUUCAGUUUGAUACUACGCUGGACCUCAUAAGCAUGCCUCACACAGUGUGUGCACCUUUUCCACUUGGCAUAUGCCUGAUUGGCUUCUCAGAGAGAGCAGUGCACUUCCCUCCUCACCCAGCGGAUGCUGUGCUGCUACCUUUGGUGCCAUCCUCAAACCCUGCUCUGAACACGAACCCCGCAUUUCCUCAUAGACUUCUCAGAGAUCUGUUGACACUGUCCUAUUCAAGCAGAUGGAAAAAAUGAUGGCUGUGACAGAAAGGACAAGCUUCUUUCAAGUCUUUUUUUUUUCAAUAAGGUAAGAAAGAGAAAUCAUUUCAAAUAAAGUCAGCUUUUUUUUAUGUUUGAGAUGAGGG